UGAGUCAUGGUGGUUGUGAUAGAAACUACUCUUUUUUUAGGGGUCAUCUUUAUUCCACGAACAAUCAUGAUGAAAUGCUUUGGUUAUUACAGUGGGAUGAGACCAACACACACACACACAAACAGCUAUAGCUUUCUAAGUAGCACAUAACAAACAUCAUCAUCCAAAUAUCACCUCAAAGUCAUCGAAUUGAGAUUACUUAUGGCACUCAGUUUUGCUCCGUUUGCGAGCUGUAAGACCUUUAUGAUGAUACUUUCUGAAUUUUUAAUAAAAGGGCCGCAUGCAUCAUCAUGAUGCAGAGGCCGGGGGUAUACCUCCAUUUCCAAAAAAACAACAAUACGGGUAGGAGUGGUGCUCACAAUAGCUCCUGAGGUAGUCGUAGCCUUUGCUUACGCAGAAGUUUCGGCACUUGUGCUGGUCAUAACCAUGCACCGGUCUCUUGCAUUCCCACAUAGAUUCAUGGUAUAUGUCAGGAUUUGUGUCUGCAUGCACACGCACAAAAAGGACGAACAAUUAAUACGUGUGUUCCAUGUGAAAGAAAGAAUGAAGCAUCACGUAGUAGAAAUAGUACUCUACAUACCCUUGGCGUUGCAGGAUAAGCGAGGCCGGCAUGACUAGAAGAGCUACGGCCAAGCACAGAAACUGCGUGUUGUUCCUGGCAUGUGCCAUGGCGAAUGACUGGCUAGUUAAUUAAUCCUCUUCUUCUGGACGGUGUUGUCUUUUGGUCCAUGGAUGCUUUUAAUGUUUUAUUCGAAUUUUUUAUUAUUUUCUUUGCCUUCUUUAAAUGUGUGAAAUUAUUUUCAAAAUCAAUGUAUUUUUUUAUUUUUGCGCCUUUUUGAAAAAACGAUGAACCUUUUCAAAUUUAUGAUUUUUUUUGGAAAUGUGUGAACUCCUAAAAAACGAUGAACUUAAAAUUUGAUGAACUUUUUGAAAAUUCAUGUACAUUUUUAAUUCAUGAUUUUUUUAUUUUUUUACCAAAAAAUGAUUUAUUUUUUAAAGUCAAUGGUUGACCGGUCAAGCUUGACCAGUCAGCAGCGAACCCAACGACCAGUCAACAACCGAACCGACCUGACUGAGCCAGCGAGCGUGUGUUUGGAUCGGGCCCAAGAGUGUGGCUGCGUGCUCCACCUCGGCGAAGGGGCGCCUUAAGCGUCGUCUAGGAGCUCCCGCGCCCUUCGGCUGAUGCCCUCUCUUCCACUCAAUUUACAUACGGGCCAACACUUUAGGCUUUGGUCUGGGCUUUUUUCUGUCGCCAUCCCGUCGUCCACGGCUUAGCAAGCCCAGGCUACUUCUCGUGCUUUCUUCUUCUUUCAAGUUCUGCACUGAGUCACGGUGGGUGUGACAGAAACUACUCAUAUUUAUUCUUUCUUUUUUGCGGGGAAAUCAUGUUUAUUCCACGAACAGUCAUGAUGAACUGCUUUGGUUAUUACAAUGGGAUGAGAUGAACACACACACACACACACACACAAACAGCUACAGCUUUUGUAAGUAGCACAUGACAAGCAUCAUCAUCCAGAUAUCACCCAAAGUCAUCGAAUUGAGAUUACUUAUGGCAACAGUAGUACGGGUAGGGGUGGUGCUCACAAUAGCUCCUGAGGUAGUCGUAGCCCAUGCUUACGCAGAAUUUUCGGCACUUGCGCUGGUCAUAAUCAUGAACUGGUCUGUUGCAUUCCCACAUAGAUUGACAGUAUAUGUU
rnacentral:lncRNA from 1 species